rnacentral:tRNA from 1 species
UCCCUACUGGCUCAGAUGGUAAAGAAUCUGCCUGCAAUACAGGAGACCAGGGUUUGAUCCCUUGGUUGGGAA